rnacentral:rRNA from 1 species
UACGUAGGGGGCUAGCGUUGUUCGGAAUUAUUGGGCGUAAAGGGCAUGUAGGCGGUUAUGUAAGUGUGAGUUGAAAGACUGAAGCUUAACUUUAUGUUUGGCUUGCAAACUGCGUAACUAGAGUGCAGGAGGGGAGACUGGAAUUCCGCGUGUAGGGGUAAAAUCUAUAGAUAUGCGGAAGAAUACCGGUGGCGAAGGCGAGUCUCUGGCCUGUAACUGACGCUAAUAUGCGAAAGUGUGGGGAGCAAACAGG